rnacentral:rRNA from 1 species
AACGUAGGAGACAAACGUUAUCCGGAGUUACUGGGCGUAAAGGGCGUGUAGGGGGUUCUGUAAGUCUGGCGUGAAAUUUUUCGGCUUAACCGGGAAAGGUCGUCGGAUACUGCAGGGCUAGAGGACGGUAGAGGCGUGUGGAAUUCCGGGUGUAGUGGUGAAAUGCGUAGAGAUCCGGAGGAACACCAGUGGCGAAGGCGACACGCUGGGCCGUACCUGACACUGAUGCGCGACAGCAUGGGGAGCAAACAGA